rnacentral:rRNA from 1 species
AUUGAACGCUGGCGGAAUGCUUUACACAUGCAAGUCGAACGGUAGAGGGGGCAACCCCUCGAGAGUGGCGAACGGGUGAGUAAUAUAUCGGAACGUGCCCAAUCGUGGGGGAUAACGUAGCGAAAGUUACUCUAAUACCGCAUCCGAUCUAAGGAUGAAAGCGGGGGAACGCAAGAGCUCGCGCGAUUGGAGCGGCCGAUAUCAGAGUAGGUAGUUGGUGGGGUAAAGGCUCACCAAGCCAACGGUCGGUAGUUGGUCUGAGAGGACGACGAGCCACACUAGAAAUGAGAAACGGUCCAGACUCCUACGGGAGGCAGCAGAGGGGAAUUUUGGACAAUGGACGCAAGUCUGAUCCAGCCAUUCCGCGUGCAGGAUGAAGGCCCUCGGGUUGUAAACUGCUUUUGUACGGAACGAAAAGGUCUCUCUUAAUACGGGGGACUCAUGACGGUACCGUAAGAAUAAGCACCGGCUAACUACGUGCCAGCCGCCGCGGUAAGAC